rnacentral:rRNA from 1 species
UACGGAGGGUGCGAGCGUUAAUCGGAAUUACUGGGCGUAAAGGGUGCGUAGGUUGUUUAGUAAGUUAGCUGUGAAAUUCCUGGGCUCAACCUGGGACUGUCAGCUAAGACUGCUGAACUGGAGUAUGGGAGAGGGUAGUGGAAUUUCCGGUGUAGCGGUGAAAUGCGUAGAGAUCGGAAGGAACACCAGUGGCGAAGGCGGCUACCUGGCCUAAUACUGACACUGAGGCACGAAAGCGUGGGGAGCAAACAGG